rnacentral:rRNA from 1 species
ACGCGAAAGGCCCCUUCGGGGGCCGAGUAGAGUGGCGCACGGGUGAGUAACACGUAGGUAAUUUGCCUUCGGGUGGGGAAUAACAGCCGGAAACGGCUGCUAAUACCGCAUAAUGCAGCGGCUCGACAUCGAGACAGUUGUUAAAGCGGGGGAUCGCAAGACCUCGCGCCUGAAGAGAAGCCUGCGGCAGAUUAGCUAGUUGGUAGGGUAAUGGCCUACCAAGGCGACGAUCUGUAACCGGCCUGAGAGGGCGGUCGGUCACACUGACACUGACAUACGGGUCAGACUCCUACGGGAGGCAGCAGUCGGGAAUUUUGGGCAAUGGGCGAAAGCCUGACCCAGCAACGCCGCGCGAAGGAUGAAAUCCCUCGGGAUGUAAACUUCGCAAGAAUGGGAAGAAUAAGUGCGGGCUAAUACCACGCACGAUGACGGUACCAUUUGUAAGCUCCGGCUAACUCCGUGCCAGCAGCCGCGGUAAUACGGGGGGAGCAAGCGUUGUUCGGAUUUACUGGGCGUAAAGGGCGCGUAGGCGGCCACGACAAGUCACUUGUGAAAUCUCCGGGCUUAACUCGGAACGGUCAAGUGAUACUGUCGGGCUAGAGUGCAGAAGGGGCAACUGGAAUUCUCGGUGUAGCGGUGAAAUGCGUAGAUAUCGAGAGGAACACCUGCGGCGAAGGCGGAUUGCUGGGCUGACACUGACGCUGAGGCGCGAAAGCCAGGGGAGCGAACGGAUUAGAUACCCCGGUAGUCC